rnacentral:rRNA from 1 species
GAGUUUGAUCCUGGCUCAGAGUGAACGCUGGCGGCGUGCCUAAUACAUGCAAGUCGAACGAUGAAUCUUCUAGCUUGCUAGAAGUGGAUUAGUGGCGCACGGGUGAGUAAUGCAUAGGUUAUGUGCCCUUUAGUCUGGGAUAGCCACUGGAAACGGUGAUUAAUACUGGAUACUCCCUACGGGGGAAAGUUUUUCGCUAAAGGAUCAGCCUAUAUCCUAUCAGCUUGUUGGUGAGGUAAUGGCUCACCAAGGCUAUGACGGGUAUCCGGCCUGAGAGGGUGAUCGGACACACUGGAACUGAGACACGGUCCAGACUCCUACGGGAGGCAGCAGUAGGGAAUAUUGCUCAAUGGGGGAAACCCUGAAGCAGCAACGCCGCGUAAAGGAUGAAGGUUUUAGGAUUGUAAACUCCUUUUGUAGAGAAGA